rnacentral:rRNA from 1 species
UACGUAGGUGGCGAGCGUUGUCCGGAUUUACUGGGCGUAAAGAGCGCGCAGGCGGUCGUACAAGUCGCGUGGGAAAGCCCCUGGCUCAACUGGGGAGGGUCACGCGAUACUGUUCGACUUGAAGGCAGGAGAGGGAAGUGGAAUUCCCGGUGUAGUGGUGAAAUGCGUAGAUAUCGGGAGGAACACCAGUGGCGAAGGCGACUUCCUGGCCUGUUCUUGACGCUGAGGCGCGAAAGCUAGGGUAGCAAACGGG